rnacentral:lncRNA from 1 species
CCGUGCGCCCUUUUCCCUGCAUCAGUCGCAUCAGCCUUACUGCAGCCCAGUGGCAAGUUCAGCCACGCCCUCAGUCAGCAUUCGGGGACCACACGGACUCUCCAAAGACUUAGGGGACCCCACGGGCACAAGAAGAGUGAGUCAAUUUUCUACCAAUUGCCAAGGCUCCUGACUCAGCGCCGGGAAUGUUGA